UAGCUCAGUGGUAGAGCACAUGCUUAGCAUGCAUAAGUCCCUGGGUUCAACCCCUAG
rnacentral:tRNA from 1 species